rnacentral:rRNA from 1 species
UACGUAGGGCGCAAGCGUUGUCCGGAAUUAUUGGGCGUAAAGAGCUCGUAGGCGGCUUGGCAAGUCGGAUGUGAAAACUCCAGGCUCAACCUGGAGCCGCCAUUCGAUACUGCUAUGGCUAGAGUCCGGUAGGGGAGUGUGGAAUUCCCGGUGUAGCGGUGAAAUGCGCAGAUAUCGGGAGGAACACCGAUGGCGAAGGCAGCACUCUGGGCCGGCACUGACGCUGAGGAGCGAAAGCGUGGGGAGCGAACAGG